CUGCAUAAUUUAUUCUCCCUUAAUCUCAUUAAGGAGGGGAGAGAGAGAGCAUCAGGCAGAGUGUGGGAAUGUGGUGUAGGGGGGAUGCUGCCCGGUCCUUGCUCAGCACCCCUCGUGGGUCCAGGACCCCACACUGCUCAGCAUCCUCAGCCCUGCAGGUAGGGGCAGGGAGGAGCUGGGAGCUGGGCCCUGAGCCCUCCUCGCAGCUGCUCCUUAUCCUGCUCGCCCUGGAGGUGGGGAUUGAAGAGAAAGUGCCUGGUGCAACGUUACCAGCGGAUGUCCUGAGGAGAGGCAGGUGUUGCGAGGAAGGAAAAGAAUGAACGCGGCGGUGGCUGACCCGGGGCCGGCACCGGGCGAGGGUUUGGGGGAAUGAACUGGAGGGUCCUGAUGAGCACGAGUGGGAGGGAAACGUGGGGGACUUUGCUUGCUGAGAGCUUUGUCUCCUCUUGUCCAGACAGAGGCAGGCUCGUGCCAAGUGCCCUGGGAGCCCAGCACCAUGGAGUUGCAGCUGCUUUUGGUUACAGCAGCUCCUUCUGGCUGGCCGCUGCGGGCGAAAACACAUACUCCUCCUGACCCAGCACCAGGACUGGGGUUGGUUUCCCUCCGAAGCAUCUCCCCUGGCUUUGCCAGCUUGUCCCCUGUGCUGCUGGGAGGUGAGGGGUGGCAGACGUCACCUCCAGCCCCCGUGGCUCCUGGUCUUUCCUCUGAGCUGGGAGAGAAACGCAGCUCAGGAUGCAAAAUCAGUUUGGGUUAAAGCUCGUUGUGAACCAAAGUGCUGUGGUUUGAGGUCCUGUAACCGUGGUGGAUCAGUGAUGGGAGAGGAUUUCUAAGACUUAUAAGCCCUUUUCUCUAUGGUGGCUAGCACCAGCAGGCCUGAUUUGGAUGUGCUUGCUAUAAUUAGCAUAAAUGCUAUUAAUAAUAGGGCCUUGCCAGGGAGAAGUGGACGGGCCAUGCCAGCCUUCCUCAGGCUGAGGUCAGCCCUGCCAUUGCUUCUCCUGCAUCCAUCAGCAUCCACGAGGGAGACAUUUCCUGCCUGCUGCAGGGAGAUCCAGGGCACUGCUGGUUUCCAAAAGUGGAUCUGACCAACUGAAUUCAAAAGCCAAAACAGAAGAAAUUGCUCGCAGCAAACCCUGCUUGACAAGAUGAGAAGCAAGCCCGGGGUAAAUCCUUGGUCCUGGGUUUGAACUUUGAAUUGAAUGGCUAAAUCAUGAGCAACGAGGCCAGUUAGCUUCCCUCACCUCCCCGCACCAAGCCUCUGGUCUUAAAACAUCUGGCUCUGUUCCAUUUCGGCCCUAUUUUGGCAAGUUUAACUUUAAUUGUGCCUUGUUUGCCACCCAGUAAAUCAGACGGGGUUAACCCCGGGUCUAACAGCACCUUGUUCCCAACCCUCCUUAUGGCUCUGGCAGGGGGUGGUGGGAGCCAGCAGCCCUCCCCUGCCCAGCCUGCCUCCCGUUUGGCAGCCGAGAUGGUGCCUGCAUCGAUAGGGCCAGGACACGAGGAGCUGCUCAGCGCCGAGAUCCUCACGCAGAUCCGUUCGCCCUUGUGAACGGCCCGGCUCUUCAGCCAGGAUUAUGUGUCUGAACAAGCCCUCAGCUCUGGGAGCAGCUGUUUUCCAGCUAUUGCCUAACAAAGAAA